GUGAAAGAAGAAUUGUUGUCCCUUGCCAGAAGUGUAAAAGCAAAAUAUAUUGUGUCCAAUGCAUCAAGCAAUGGUAUCCAAAGAUGACAGAAGAAGAAAUUGCAGAACAAUGUCCGUACUGUCGUAGAAAUUGCAACUGCAAUGUGUGUUUGCACUCCAGUGGUUUGAUUAAGACAUCAAAAAGGGACAUCACUGACAGUCAAAAGGUUCAGCAUCUCCAGUAUUUGAUAAAGUCACUGCUUCCAUUUCUUGAACAACUUUGUAUACCAUUGC
rnacentral:misc_RNA from 1 species